rnacentral:snoRNA from 1 species
AUUUAGAAAUACAUGGAUGGGCAGUCUCCCUCCCUAGCCCUGGAAGAGCAUAUUCUUGUUUAUUGACAAAGCUGCCACCAUUUAAUUGGUAUCAGAUUCUGACUUGCACAAGUAACAUUC